GUGUAUAUAUAUCACUCUUGUCAUGAGUACCUGUAUUUGUUGUUUCCAGAUGCCUUUUUUUGCAGACAAUUGCAUGAAAGACAGAAUUCCUUGAAUAUGUGCUGUAGAGAAGUCAGCAAUCUUUUCUUAGCCUUUUUUGAGGUCAAUGUGACAACCAGAUGAAUUGAGAAUUCUCUUCUGGACUCCUGCAUAUGUGGCUGACAUCUGCAAUCAAUUUCUUCUUCUUUUUCUAUGAACCUCUGUAAUGAAGUAAUGUCUGCCAGCUUAUUUUCCCUGCCACUCAUCUUGACCAGUACAGAUCCACCCUGUGGUCAUGUACUGCACAUAGUAGGUGUUCAAUAAGUGGGUGACUGCAAUAUUCAGCAACACAGCCUGAGAAUCUGGCUUCACCUUAAAUGGAACUUUACCAGAUAUGUAGAAAUGAGUCUCUGAAAUCCUGUGAACUUUGGGGCUGUGGAAGAUUAAUUGCAUGUCACAUAUAUUUUAUGACAGAAAAAUUUAAGUUAGUUUUGGGGAAUUCUGUAUGAAGAUAUCGAUCUAAUUAUUUCCUUCAGGUCAUUAUCAUGCUUAUUUAUCAUAGAGAUUAAAAUAUGACUACAUGUU
rnacentral:sRNA from 1 species